rnacentral:rRNA from 1 species
CCUACGGGUGGCUGCAGUCGAGAAUCAUUCACAAUGGGGGAAACCCUGAUGGGGCGACGCCGCGUGGGGGAAUGAAGGUCUGCGGAUUGUAAACCCCUGUCAUGUGGGAGCAAAUUAAAAAGAUAGUACCACAAGAGGAAGAGACGGCGAACGCGGAGCCAGCAGCCGCGGUAAUACAGAGGUCUCAAGCGUUGUUCGGAAUCACUGGGCGGAAAGCGUGCGUAGGCUUUUUCGUAAGUCGUGUGUGAAAGGCGCUGGCUCCCCCCGCGGACGGCACCUGAUACUGCGAGACUAGUGUACUGGACGGGGCACCGGAUUUCUCGGUGUAGCCGU